rnacentral:rRNA from 1 species
AGUAACGCGUAGGUAACCUGCCUUGUAGCGGGGGAUAACUAUUGGAAACGAUAGCUAAUACCGCAUAACAAUGGGUGACUCAUGUCAUUUAUUUGAAAGGGGCAAAUGCUCCACUACAAGAUGGACCUGCGUUGUAUUAGCUAGUAGGUGAGGUAACGGCUCACCUAGGCGACGAUACAUAGCCGACCUGAGAGGGUGAUCGGCCACACCGGGACUGAGACACGGCCCAG